rnacentral:SRP_RNA from 1 species
GCCGGGUGCGGUGGCGCGCGCCUGUAAUCCAAGUUACCGGGAGGCUGAGGCUGGCGGAUCGUUUGAGCUCAGGAGUUCUGAGCUGCAGUGGACUAUGUCGAUCGGGUGUCCGCACUAAGUUCGGUAUCGAUAUGGUGCUCCUGGGGAGCCCGGGACCACCAGGUCGUCUAAGGAGGGGUGCACCGGCCCAGGUCGGAAACGGAGCAGGCCAAAGCCCCCGUGCCGCUCAGUAGUGGGAUCGCGCCUGUGAAUAGACACUGUAGUGCAGCCUGAGUAAUACAGCGGGACUCAGUCUUUU